rnacentral:rRNA from 1 species
GACAGAGGGUGCAAACGUUGUUCGGAAUUACUGGGCGUAAAGCGCGUGUAGGCUGCUCGGAAAGUCGGAUGUGAAAGCCCUGGGCUCAACCUAGGAAGUGCAUUCGAAACUUCCGAGCUGGAGUUCUGGAGAGGAAGGCGGAAUUCUCGGUGUAGAGGUGAAAUUCGUAGAUAUCGAGAGGAACACCGGUGGCGAAGGCGGCCUUCUGGACAGUGACUGACGCUGAGACGCGAAAGCGUGGGGAGCAAACAGG